rnacentral:rRNA from 1 species
AUUGAACGCUGGCGGCAUGCCUUACACAUGCAAGUCGAACGGCAGCACGGGAGCAAUCCUGGUGGCGAGUGGCGAACGGGUGAGUAAUGUAUCGGAACGUACCUUUCAGUGGGGGAUAACGUAGCGAAAGUUACGCUAAUACCGCAUAUUCUGUGCGCAGGAAAGCAGGGGAUCGCAAGACCUUGCGCUGAUUGAGCGGCCGAUAUCAGAUUAGCUAGUUGGUGAGGUAAAGGCUCACCAAGCCAACGAUCUGUAGCUGGUCUGAGAGGACGACCAGCCACACUGGAACUGAGACACGGUCCAGACUCCUACGGGAGGCUG